UUUUUGCACCGUGUCCAUCUGUUCUUCCAUCUCUUUCAUUAUUUCCAACCACAAAAAAAACACCUGUACGUCAUACUAACGUACCUAUAUAAGCUUGUGUGCCAACAUUUCACUAGAGAUUUGCACAGAGUUCGACAAGUGGAUUCAAUCCAAGCAUUCAAUCAGGAUUUAUAUUUUUUCAUUUUUGCCACAUACAUUUGAAACUUGUUUAAUAAAGUGUAAAAAAGAAAACAGAAUGGAUUUGGGAAGGAGAAAAUCUGCAUGUUUCUUUAUUUUGGUUGCCUUUCAAUUGGCUUCCACCUCGAUGACCGUAUCAGCGGAAUCCAGCACCAGCAUGUCACCAACCACUGGUGCAUCAACAUCAGCCGUUGGUUCUACAACAACAGCUGAUGUUUCUACAACCACUGGAGGGUCAACAAACGCUGGAGGAUCAACAACCACUGGAGGACCAGCAACCCCCGGAGGUUCAUCCACAACUGCAGCACCAACAACCACUGGAGGAUCAACAACCACUGAAGGGUCAACAACCACAGAAGGGUCGACAGCUACAGGAGGAUCGACAGCCCCUGGAGGAUCCACAACAACCGGAGCAUCAUCAACAACGCAAGAAACUCCAGCUAUUACUACCAGUUCUCCAACAACUACUGCUGGAUUAUCAACUACCACAGGAGGUUCAACCAUCACAAUUGGAUCAACAAUUGGUGGAUCAACAACCAUAGGAGUAACAACAACCACUGGAGAAUCAACGACUGGAGAAUCAACAAUCACUGCAGGACCAACCAACUCUGGGGGUUCAACCAUCACUACUGGAUCAACAACUGGUGGAUCAACAACCACUGCAGGAUCCACAACAACCGGAACAUCAUCAACAACGCAAGAAACUCCAGCUAUUGCUACCAGUUCUCCAACAACUACUGCUGGAUUAUCAACUGCCACUGGAGGUUCAACCAUCACAAUUGGAUCAACAAUUGGUGGAUCAACAACCAUGGGAGUAACAACAACCACUGGAGAAUCAACGACUGGAGAAUCAACAAUCACUGGAGGACCAAUCACCACUGGAGGUUCAACCAUCACUACUGGAUCAACAACUGGUGGAUCAUCAACCACUGGAGGAUCCACAUCAACCGGAACAUCAUCAACAACGCAAGAAACUCCAGCUAUUGCUACCAGUACUCCAACAACUACUGCUGGAUUAUCAACUACCACUGGAGGUUCAACCAUCACAAUUGGAUCAACAAUUGGUGGAUCAACAACCAUGGGAGUAACAACAACCACUGGAGAAUCAACGACUGGAGAAUCAACAAUCACUGGAGAACCAAUCACCACUGGAGGUUCAACCAUCACUACUGGAUCAACAACUGGUGGAUCAACAACUGGAGGAUCCACAUCAACCGGAACAUCAUCAACAACGCAAGAAACUCCAGCUAUUACUACCAGUUCUCCAACAACUACUGCUGGAUUAUCAACUACCACAGGAGGUUCAACCAUCACAAUUGGAUCAACAAUUGGUGGAUCAACAACCAUGGGAGUAACAACAACCACUGGAGAAUCAACGACUGGAGAAUCAACAAUCACUGGAGGACCAAUCACCACUGGAGGUUCAACCAUCACAAUUGGAUCAACAAUUGGUGGAUCAACAACCAUGGGAGUAACAACAACCACUGGAGAAUCAACGACUGGAGAAUCAACAAUCACUGGAGGACCAACCACCACUGGAGGUUCUACCAUCAUUACUGGAUCAACAACUGGUGGAUCAACAACUGGAGGAUCCACAUCAACCGGACCAUCAUCAACAACGCAAGAAACUCCAACUAUUACAACAACUACCAGUUCUCCAACAACUACUGCUGGAUUAUCAACCACCACUGGAGGUUCAACCAUCACUACUGGAUUAACAAUUGGUGGAUCAACAACAAUAGGAGGAACAAUCACCACUGGAGGUUCAACCAUCACUACUGGAUCAACAACUGGUGGAUCAAUAACAACUGGAGGAUCCAUAACAACUGGAGCAUCAUCAUCAACCACACGAGAAACUCAGACUAUUACAACAACUACCAGUUCUCCAACCACUACUGCUGGAUUAUCAACUACCACUGGAGGAUCAACAACCACUCGAGGAUCCACAACGACUACAGGACCAACAACAACUGCAGAAUCAACAACCACUGGAGGAUCAACCAUCACUACUGGAUCAACAAUUGGUGGAUCAACAACCAUAGUAGGCAUUAUCACCACUGGAAGUUCAACCAUCACUACUGGAUCAACAACUGGUGGAUCAAUAACAACUGGAGGAUUCACAACAACUGGAGCAUCAUCAUCAACAACACAAGAAACUCCAACUAUUACAACAACUACCAGUUCUCCAACCACUACUGCUGGAUUAUCAACUACCACUGGAGGAUCAACAACCACUCGAGGAUCCACAACGACUGCAGGACCAACAGCAACUGCAGAAUCAACAACCACUGGAGGAUCAACAACCACUGGAGGAUCAACAACCACUGGAGGAUCAACAACCACUGGAGGGUCAGCAACCACUGGAGUAUCAACGACCACUGCAGUACCAACAACCACUGGAGGAUCAACCAUCACUACUGGAUCAACAAUUGGUGGAUCAACAACCAUAGUAGGCAUUAUCACCACUGGAAGUUCAACCAUCACUACUGGAUCAACAACUGGUGGAUCAAUAACAACUGGAGGAUUCACAACAACUGGAGCAUCAUCAUCAACAACACAAGAAACUCCAACUAUUACAACAACUACCAGUUCUCCAACAACUACUGCUGGAUUAUCAACUACCACUGGAGGAUCAACAACCACUCGAGGAUCCACAACGACUGCAG
ensembl:lncRNA